AGCAGUAAGGAAUAUUGGUCAAUGGACGAAAGUCUGAACCAGCCAUGCCGCGUGGAGGAUGAAGGUCCUCUGGAUUGUAAACUUCUUUUAUAUGGGGCGAAAAAAGGGUUUUCUAACUCGACUGACGGUACCAUAUGAAUAAGCACCGGCUAACUCCGUGCCAGCAGCCGCGGUAAUACGGAGGGUGCAAGCGUUAUCCGGAUUCACUGGGUUUAAAGGGAGCGUAGGUGGGUUGAUAAGUCAGUGGUGAAAUCUCCGAGCUUAACUCGGAAACUGCCAUUGAUACUAUCAGUCUUGAAUAUUGUGGAGGCUAGCGGAAUAUGUCAUGUAGCGGUGAAAUGCUUAGAUAUGACAUAGAACACCAAUUGCGAAGGCAGCUGGCUAUACAUAUAUUGACACUGAGGCUCGAAAGCGUGGGGAUCAAACAGGAUUAGAUACCCUGGUAGUCCACGCCCUAAACUAUGGAUACUCGACAUACGCGAUACACUGUGUGUGUCUGAGCGAAAGCAUUAAGU
rnacentral:rRNA from 1 species